rnacentral:rRNA from 1 species
AUUGAACGCUGGCGGCAGGCUUAACACAUGCAAGUCGAGCGGGGGAGGUUGCUUCGGUAACUGACCUAGCGGCGGGCGGGUGAGUAAUGCUUAGGAAUCUGCCUAUUAGUGGGGGACAACAUUCCGAAAGGAAUGCUAAUACCGCAUACGCCCUACGGGGGAAAGCCGGGGAUCUUCGGACCUUGCGCUAAUAGAUGAGCCUAAGUCGGCUUAGGUAGUUGGUGGGGUAAAGGCCUACCAAGGCGACGAUCUGUAGCGGGUCUGAGAGGAUGAUCCGCCACACUGGGACUGAGACACGGCCCAGACUCCUACGGGAGGCAGCAGUGGGGAAUAUUGGACAAUGGGCGGAAGCCUGAUCCAGCCAUGCCGCGUGUGUGAAGAAGGCCUUUUGGUUGUAAAGCACUUUAAGCGAGGAGGAGGCUCUUAAGGUUAAUACCCUUGAUGAGUGGACGUUACUCGCAGAAUAAGCACCGGCUAACUCUGUGCCAGCCGCCGCAGUAAAAC